GCGGAGGAAAAGAAACCAACAGGGAUUGCCCUAGUAACGGCGAGUGAAGCGGCAACAGCUCAAAUUUGAAAUCUGGCUUCGGCCCGAGUUGUAAUUUGCAGAGGAAGCUUUAGGCGCGGCACCUCCUGAGUCCCCUGGAACGGGGCGCCACAGAGGGUGAGAGCCCCGUAUAGUUGGAUGCCUAGCCUGUGUAAAGCUCCUUCGACGAGUCGAGUAGUUUGGGAAUGCUGCUCAAAAUGGGAGGUAAAUUUCUUCUAAAGCUAAAUACCGGCCAGAGACCGAUAGCGCACAAGUAGAGUGAUCGAAAGAUGAAAAGCACUUUGAAAAGAGGGUUAAAUAGCACGUGAAAUUGUUGAAAGGGAAGCGCUUGUGACCAGACUUGCGCCGGGCUGAUCAUCCGGUGUUCUCACCGGUGCACUCUGCCCGGCUCAGGCCAGCAUCGGUUCUCGCGGGGGGAUAAAGGCCCUGGGAACGUAGCUCCUCCGGGAGUGUUAUAGCCCGGGGCGCAAUGCCCUCGCGGGGACCGAGGUUCGCGCUCUGCAAGGAUGCUGGCGUAAUGGUCAUCAGCGACCCGUCUUGAAACACGGACCAAGGAGUCAAGGUUUUGCGCGAGUGUUUGGGUGUAAAACCCGCACGCGUAAUGAAAGUGAACGUAGGUGAGAGCUUCGGCGCAUCAUCGACCGAUCCUGAUGUUCUCGGAUGGAUUUGAGUAGGAGCGUUAAGCCUUGGACCCGAAAGAUGGUGAACUAUGCUUGGAUAGGGUGAAGCCAGAGGAAACUCUGGUGGAGGCUCGCAGCGGUUCUGACGUGCAAAUCGAUCGUCAAAUCUGAGCAUGGGGGCGAAAGACUAAUCGAACCAUCUAGUAGCUGGUACC
rnacentral:rRNA from 1 species